rnacentral:rRNA from 1 species
CACGGAGGGGGCAAGCGUUGUCCGGAAUCAUUGGGCGUAAAGAGCUCGUAGGCGGCUCAGUAAGUCGGGUGUGAAACCCCCAGGCUCAACCUGGGGACGCCACCCGAUACUGCUGUGGCUAGAGUCCAGUAGGGGAGUGUGGAAUUCCCAGUGUAGAGGUGAAAUUCGUAGAUAUUGGGAAGAACACCGGUGGCGAAGGCGGCGACCUGGUCCGAUACUGACGCUGAGGCGCGAAAGCGUGGGGAGCAAACAGG